rfam:Ornithorhynchus anatinus chromosome 15, whole genome shotgun sequence.
AGCAGCGUGGCUCAGUGGAAAGAGCCCGGGCUUUGGGAGUCAGAGGUCAUGGGUUCUAAUCCCAGCUCUGCCA